AGCUUUGGGGGUGUUGAUGGGCUGCUGGCUGGAGGUGAGAAGGCCACCAUGCAGAACCUCAAUGACCGCCUGGCCUCCUACCUGGACAAGGUGCGUGCCCUGGAGGAGGCCAACACUGAGCUGGAGGUGAAGAUCCGUGACUGGUACCAGAGGCAGGCCCCAGGGCCCGCCCGUGACUACAGCCAGUACUACAGGACAAUUGAGGAGCUGCAGAACAAGAUCCUCACAGCCACCGUGGACAAUGCCAAUAUCCUGCUACAGAUUGACAAUGCCCGUCUGGCUGCUGAUGACUUCCGCACCAAGUUUGAGACGGAGCAGGCCCUGCGCCUGAGUGUGGAGGCCGACAUCAAUGGCCUGCGCAGGGUGCUGGAUGAGCUGACCCUGGCCAGAGCCGAUCUGGAGAUGCAGAUUGAGAACCUCAAGGAGGAGCUGGCCUACCUGAAGAAGAACCACGAGGAGGUGAGGUGGCUGGGGCAGAAGGUCAAAGAUGCUGAGGAGUGGGUGGCAGAGCCCUGGGGCUGGGCAAUGGCUGAGGCCGUGGGAGAGAGCAGAGCAGGUGCACCGGGAUUAGUCACCUUAGAGGGCUUCCCUGUCUGCAGAGCCCUGAUCCUUGGGGUCCAGUGUGCAGGGCAGACUCCUCUUUGUACCACACUGCUUCUCUGUACACAAGGAACCUCCCAGGGGCCUGCAGAGGCUCCCUCUACCUACCCUGCCUCCCUCAUGAGGGUGGGGGAUAAGUAAGGAAAUCUUGUCCCAUUUCAAACUCUCAAAGCUGAACAUCUACAUAGAAGCUUGGAAAUUAGAGGGGAAAUUUUGGGGGCAUAGGCCUAAUAAUUAGAUUUUAUUUUGGAGAGUCCUUGGUCUAAUGGGGGAGAUAGAGUCUGAUGGUGGAGGCAAUACUGAGCAGAUGAAUAAAAAUCAUUUAGAGGGUCAGAUAGAGCAGAGGGAGAACAAAGGAGGGGUCCUUGUGGGAAGUGGGGUCCCCUUGUGGGGGAAGGCUUGGGAGUGAGAGGUCAGGAUGGGUCCAGAUGCGCACAUCCACAUCCCCUUUUUCCAUAGGAGAUGAACGCCCUGCGAGGCCAGGUGGGUGGUGAGAUCAAUGUGGAGAUGGAUGCUGCCCCAGGCGUGGACCUGAGCCGCAUCCUCAACGAGAUGCGUGACCAGUAUGAGAAGAUGGCAGAGAAGAACCGCAAGGAUGCUGAGGAUUGGUUCUUCAGCAAGACAGAGGAACUGAACCGCGAGGUGGCCACCAACAGUGAGCUGGUGCAGAGUGGCAAGAGUGAGAUCUCGGAGCUCCGGCGCACCAUGCAGGCCUUGGAGAUAGAGCUGCAGUCCCAGCUCAGCAUGAAAGCAUCCCUGGAGGGCAACCUGGCGGAGACAGAGAACCGCUACUGCGUGCAGCUGUCCCAGAUCCAGGGGCUGAUUGGCAGCGUGGAGGAGCAGCUGGCCCAGCUUCGCUGCGAGAUGGAGCAGCAGAACCAGGAAUACAAAAUCCUGCUGGAUGUGAAGACGCGGCUGGAGCAGGAGAUCGCCACCUACCGCCGCCUGCUGGAGGGCGAGGAUGCCCACCUGACUCAGUACAAGAAAGAACCGGUGACCACCCGUCAGGUGCGUACCAUUGUGGAAGAGGUCCAGGAUGGCAAGGUCAUCUCCUCCCGCGAGCAGGUCCACCAGACCACCCGCUGAGGACUCAGCUACCCCGGCCAGCCACCCAGGAGGCAGGGAGGCAGCCGCCCCAUCUGCCCCACAGUCUCCAGCCUCUCCAGCCUCAGCCCCCUGCUUCAGUCCCUUCCCCAUGCUUCCUUGCCUGAUGACAAUAAAGCUUGUUGACUCA
rnacentral:sRNA from 1 species